GCCAGCCAACGCGGAGCCUCUUCGCCGAAUUUCCACCCCGGGUGGACGCGCAGCACCCUGGGCUGUGUGGUCCUCCGGGAGUCACCAGCGGUUGCUGGGCUUCCACUUCCCCCGGCGCCCGGCAGCCAACCCUUCCUCCGUGGGCGGCGGAGUCCGGAGAAGCCUGCCAGUAUUUAAACUUCUUCCUGCGAAUGACAUUUCCCCAAAGGCUGGCAAAACUGUCUCCCGAAGCCACCGAGCUGGGUCCACUGUCCCCAAGUCGGUCCUGCAUGCCCCUUGGGAAUAGUGUUGGAGUAGUCCUCUGCCCUCGGGAAAAUUACCAAACACAGUGAUAGCAAAAUAAAUUGACCCUUUGAUGGCCUUGUGCUGAGGGUUUUGCUUGCAUUAUCUCAUGCACUCUUCUCAACUCUAAUAGAUCAAGCCUGCAGUACCUCUUUCCUGAACGAUUGCAAUGGACUUCUAGAUGGAUUCCCUGCUGCCCUACUCGACACGGCUAUCAGAAUUGGCAUUCAAGAACAUCUGCAAACUCCAAAUCUGGACACUUCCCCUCUUUAUUCUGCCUUUCCCUCAAAUCCUAUGUGAGAACUAAAUAAAUUUUCAUCCUGUG